UACAGAGGAGCCAAGCGUUGUCCGGAUUGACUGGGCGUAAAGCGCACGCAGGCGGUUGCGCGGGUGGGGGGGGAAAUCUGGCCGCUUAACGGCCAGGCGCCAUCCCAUACGGCGCGACUGGAGCGAUGCAGAGGUCGAUGGAAUUGCCGGUGUAGUGGUGAAAUGCGUAGAGAUCGGCAGGAACACCCAGGGGGAAACCAGUCGACUGGGCAUCUACUGACGCUGAGGUGCGAGAGCGUGGGGAGCGAACCGG
rnacentral:rRNA from 1 species